rfam:Janthinobacterium sp. B9-8, complete genome.
GGCGGGUCUCCCCGCAUAGCUAGAAGGUGAACUUGGUCAGGUCCGGAAGGAAGCAGCCACAGCUUUUGAUGCUAGUGCCGGGGGUUAGGCUCGCCACC